GAACCGGGGGAACUGAAACAUCUAAGUACCCCGAGGAAAAGAAAUCAACCGAGAUUCCCCCAGUAGCGGCGAGCGAACGGGGAGCAGCCCAGAGCCUGAAUCAGUGUGUGUGUUAGUGGAAGCGUCUGGAAAGGCGCGCGAUACAGGGUGACAGCCCCGUACACAAAAAUGCACAUGCUGUGAGCUCGAUGAGUAGGGCGGGACACGUGGUAUCCUGUCUGAAUAUGGGGGGACCAUCCUCCAAGGCUAAAUACUCCUGACUGACCGAUAGUGAACCAGUACCGUGAGGGAAAGGCGAAAAGAACCCCGGCGAGGGGAGUGAAAAAGAACCUGAAACCGUG
rnacentral:rRNA from 1 species